AGGACGAACGCUUGCGACGUGCCUAAGAAAUGCAAGUCGAACGGGGUAGCAAUACCUAGUGGCGAACGGUCGCGUAACACGUGGGCAACCUGCCCUGAAGCGGGGGACAACAACUCGAAAGAGUUGCUAAUACCGCAUGUGAAUCGGAAUGGCAUCAUUCAGGAUUCAAAGCCGCAAGGCACUUCAGGAUGGGCCCGCGGCCUAUCAGCUUGUUGGUGAGGUAACGGCUCACCAAGGCUUCGACGGGUAGCUGGUCUGAGAGGACGAUCAGCCGGAUUGGGACUGAGAUACGGCCCAGACUCCUACGGGGGGCAGCAAUUAGGAAUCUUGCGCAAUGGGCGAAGCCUGACGCAGCGACGUCGCGUGAAGGAUGAAUCUUCGGGAUGUAAACUUCUUUAACAGGGUAAGAAUAAUGACGGUACCUGUUAGAAUAGCCCCGGAUAACGUACGCGCCAGCAGCCGC
rnacentral:rRNA from 1 species